GGUCGUAUGGUCUAGUGGUUAUGACAUCUGCUUUACAAGUUCUUCACAGAGCGCGAUCGCAGAGGAUCGCAGGUUCAAUCCCUGCUACGAUCA